GACGAACGCUGGCGGCGUGCUUAACACAUGCAAGUCGAACGGAAAGGCCCUGCUUUUGUGGGGUGCUCGAGUGGCGAACGGGUGAGUAACACGUGAGUAACCUGCCCUUGACUUUGGGAUAACUUCAGGAAACUGGGGCUAAUACCGGAUAGGAGCUCCUGCUGCAUGGUGGGGGUUGGAAAGUUUCGGCGGUUGGGGAUGGACUCGCGGCUUAUCAGCUUGUUGGUGAGGUAGUGGCUUACCAAGGCUUUGACGGGUAGCCGGCCUGAGAGGGUGACCGGCCACAUUGGGACUGAGAUACGGACCAGACGCCUACGGGAGGCAGCAGUGGGGAAUAUUGCACAAUGGGCGGAAGCCUGAUGCAGCAACGCCGCGUGCGGGAUGACGGCCUUCGGGUUGUAAACCGCUUUCGCCUGUGACGAAGCGUGAGUGACGGUAAUGGGUAAAGAAGCACCGGCUAACUACGUG
rnacentral:rRNA from 1 species